rnacentral:rRNA from 1 species
UACGUAGGGGGCAAGGCGUUGUCCGGAUUUAUUGGGCGUAAAGAGCGUGUAGGCGGCUAGAGUAGUCGUGAAUAACUCGAGGCUCAACCUCGAGACGUGCGUGGAAACCAUCUGGCUAGAGUCCGGAAGAGGAGAGUGGAAUUCCUGGUGUAGCGGUGAAAUGCGCAGAUAUCAGCAGGAACACCCGUGGCGAAGGCGGCCCCCUGGGCCGAACCUGACGCUGAGGCGCGAAGGCUAGGGGAGCGAACGGG